ACCAGACUCCUACGGGAGGCAGCAGUGGGGAAUCUUCCGCAAUGGGCGAAAGCCUGACGGAGCAACGCCGCGUGAUCGAAUGAAGGCCUUCGGGUUGUAAAGAUCUGUUGACAGGGACGAAUAAGCAAUGCGAAUAGUUUUGUGUAUGACGGUACCUGUUUAGAAAGCUCCGGCUAGCUACGUGCCAGCAGCCGCGGUAAUACGUAGGUGGCGAGCGUUAUCCGGAAUGAUUGGGCGUAAAGGGUGCGCAGGCGGUCCUGCAAGUCUGGAGUGAAACGCAUGAGCUCAACUCAUGCAUGGCUUUGGAAACUGGAGGACUGGAGAGCAGGAGAGGGCGGUGGAACUCCAUGUGUAGCGGUAAAAUGCGUAGAUAUAUGGAAGAACACCAGUGGCGAAGGCGGCCGCCUGGCCUGUUGCUGACGCUGAGGCACGAAAGCGUGGGGAGCAAAUAGGAUUAGAUACCCCGGUA
rnacentral:rRNA from 1 species